CGAGCGAAUACACCCAAUUCACGAAUACCUAAAACGGGAUCCGAUCCCGCGAAAGGGCUAAAACCUCAAGAAAACCCCAGCGGCGAGCUCUUGGACUCCCGUCCCAAAUCCCUGAAGUAUGUCCACCGCCGCUGCCAUGGCUGCUAGGUCAGCCCUCAGAUCAACCGUAGCGCGGGCCGCUAUCUCCGGGAGACUUACCGGCGGUGCCAAAGUGAAAUCAGCGCGUUCUCCGUUCGGCAUGCCCAAGCAGAACCCACUCUCCCAAUCCCAUCGCAUUUUGAGGUCUCCUGUUGAAAUGAGUUGCUGUGUGGAAUCGUUGCUUCCUUACCACUCUGCUACCGCAUCUGCAUUGCUUACGUCUAUGCUUUCCGUCUCUCGUCGGAGUUACGGUUGGACCCCUGAAGGGCAAGACGAGACUAGAUGAGGUCUUAGCAUCAGCCGAUGGAAUGACUGGAUUUAUUUUUGUUGUCAACUUUGUGGAAAUAAUGAUUCUUGAAUGAUGAAUGCUACUACUGAGCAGGAGUUACCUAAGGUAAUCAUUUCUAGGAUCGUGAGAGAUUGCUCAUUGCUGAACUUGGCUAAGCGACUUGCUGUGUGAUUCUUUACUGUUUACUUGCCUUAGAAGUCUAGGGGUGGACAGAUUUACAAUUUCCAAGCUGGAGGAUAACAAUAUACAUGGCAUUGUUCAUUAAUCAUGAUGUGUUUUGGGCAUAAAAAUUGAACUUUAGAUUAGUUUGGUUAUGCAGAUCUUAGACAAUGUUUAUAAUCUACAUUUCCCCUUCUGUUGUAUUGUAGAUGGAUGAUUACUGUCUGUUGAGAUGUGGUGCAUCGAUCAUAGUUUCGAGAAUUUGAAUGGAGACUGUAAGAUUUUGAUUAAGCCGAUACGUGACUUGGUUGAUGAUUUGAGAUUUCCAACUGUAGGAUAAUGUUUUUAUGAUUCUCCCUGCAAGUAACAGUAAGUAAUUUCCUUCCAAGUCCAACCAAUGUAGAAUUGGAUGCUCCAGUUACCUUUUUAGUAGGAAAAGGGUGCCUAGAUUUGGUAGUAUGAAAUAAUGGUAAGCAUUUUAGGUGAACUUA